GAUAGAAUAGUUUAUUUAAAACGUUUAAUUGUGACUUAAAAAAAAUCUGUGAUUUCUAUCU
rnacentral:tRNA from 1 species